ACUAAGCGUACACGGUGGAUGCCCUGGCAGUCAGAGGCGAUGAAGGGCGUGCUAAUCUGCGAUAAGCGCCGGUAAGGUGAUAUGAACCGUUAUAACCGGCGAUACCCGAAUGGGGAAACCCAGUGUGAUUCGUCACACUAUCAUUAACUGAAUCCAUAGGUUAAUGAGGCGAACCGGGGGAACUGAAACAUCUAAGUACCCCGAGGAAAAGAAAUCAACCGAGAUUCCCCCAGUAGCGGCGAGCGAACGGGGAGGAGCCCAGAGCCUGAAUCAGCAUGUGUGUUAGUGGAAGCGUCUGGAAAGGCGCGCGAUACAGGGUGACAGCCCCGUACACAAAAGCGCAUGUGCUGUGAGCUCGAUGAGUAGGGCGGGACACGUGGUAUCCUGUCUGAAUAUGGGGGGACCAUCCUCCAAGGCUAAAUACUCCUGACUGACCGAUAGUGAACCAGUACCGUGAGGGAAAGGCGAAAAGAACCCCGGCGAGGGGAGUGAAAAAGAACCUGAAACCGUGUACGUACAAGCAGUGGGAGCNGUGACUGCGUACCUUUUGUAUAAUGGGUCAGCGACUUAUAUUCUGUAGCAAGGUUAACCGAAUAGGGGAGCCGGAGGGAAACCGAGUCUUAAUUGGGCGUUAAGUUGCAGGGUAUAGACCCGAAACCCGGUGAUCUAGCCAUGGGCAGGUUGAAGGUUGGGUAACACUAACUGGAGGACCGAACCGACUAAUGUUGAAAAAUUAGCGGAUGACCUGUGGCUGGGGGUGAAAGGCCAAUCAAACCGGGAGAUAGCUGGUUCUCCCCGAAAGCUAUUUAGGUAGCGCCUCGUGAAUUCAUCUCCGGGGGUAGAGCACUGUUUCGGCUAGGGGGCCAUCCCGGCUUACCAACCCGAUGCAAACUGCGAAUACCGGAGAAUGUUAUCACGGGAGACACACGGCGGGUGCUAACGUCCGUCGUGAAGAGGGAAACAACCCAGACCGCCAGCUAAGGUCCCAAAGUCAUGGUUAAGUGGGAAACGAUGUGGGAAGGCCCAGACAGCCAGGAUGUUGGCUUAGAAGCAGCCAUCAUUUAAAGAAAGCGUAAUAGCUCACUGGUCGAGUCGGCCUGCGCGGAAGAUGUAACGGGGCUAAACCAUGCACCGAAGCUGCGGCAGCGACGCUUAUGCGUUGUUGGGUAGGGGAGCGUUCUGUAAGCCUGUGAAGGUGGCCUGUGAGGGUUGCUGGAGGUAUCAGAAGUGCGAAUGCUGACAUAAGUAACGAUAAAGCGGGUGAAAAGCCCGCUCGCCGGAAGACCAAGGGUUCCUGUCCAACGUUAAUCGGGGCAGGGUGAGUCGACCCCUAAGGCGAGGCCGAAAGGCGUAGUCGAUGGGAAACGGGUUAAUAUUCCCGUACUUGGUGUUACUGCGAAGGGGGGACGGAGAAGGCUAUGUUGGCCGGGCGACGGUUGUCCCGGUUUAAGCGUGUAGGUGUGUGUUCCAGGUAAAUCCGGUUCACUUUAACACUGAGGCGUGAUGACGAGGCACUACGGUGCUGAAGCAACAAAUGCCCUGCUUCCAGGAAAAGCCUCUAAGCAUCAGGUAACAUCAAAUCGUACCCCAAACCGACACAGGUGGUCAGGUAGAGAAUACCAAGGCGCUUGAGAGAACUCGGGUGAAGGAACUAGGCAAAAUGGUGCCGUAACUUCGGGAGAAGGCACGCUGACACGUAGGUGAAGUGAUUUACUCAUGGAGCUGAAGUCAGUCGAAGAUACCAGCUGGCUGCAACUGUUUAUUAAAAACACAGCACUGUGCAAACACGAAAGUGGACGUAUACGGUGUGACGCCUGCCCGGUGCCGGAAGGUUAAUUGAUGGGGUCAGCGCAAGCGAAGCUCCUGAUCGAAGCCCCGGUAAACGGCGGCCGUAACUAUAACGGUCCUAAGGUAGCGAAAUUCCUUGUCGGGUAAGUUCCGACCUGCACGAAUGGCGUAAUGAUGGCCAGGCUGUCUCCACCCGAGACUCAGUGAAAUUGAACUCGCUGUGAAGAUGCAGUGUACCCGCGGCAAGACGGAAAGACCCCGUGAACCUUUACUAUAGCUUGACACUGAACAUUGAGCCUUGAUGUGUAGGAUAGGUGGGAGGCUUUGAAGCGUGGACGCCAGUCUGCGUGGAGCCGACCUUGAAAUACCACCCUUUAAUGUUUGAUGUUCUAACGUGGACCCGUNCCGGGUUGCGGACAGUGUCUGGUGGGUAGUUUGACUGGGGCGGUCUCCUCCUAAAGAGUAACGGAGGAGCACGAAGGUUGGCUAAUCCUGGUCGGACAUCAGGAGGUUAGUGCAAUGGCAUAAGCCAGCUUGACUGCGAGCGUGACGGCGCGAGCAGGUGCGAAAGCAGGUCAUAGUGAUCCGGUGGUUCUGAAUGGAAGGGCCAUCGCUCAACGGAUAAAAGGUACUCCGGGGAUAACAGGCUGAUACCGCCCAAGAGUUCAUAUCGACGGCGGUGUUUGGCACCUCGAUGUCGGCUCAUCACAUCCUGGGGCUGAAGUAGGUCCCAAGGGUAUGGCUGUUCGCCAUUUAAAGUGGUACGCGAGCUGGGUUUAGAACGUCGUGAGACAGUUCGGUCCCUAUCUGCCGUGGGCGCUGGAGAACUGAGGGGGGCUGCUCCUAGUACGAGAGGACCGGAGUGGACGCAUCACUGGUGUUCGGGUUGUCAUGCCAAUGGCACUGCCCGGUAGCUAAAUGCGGAAGAGAUAAGUGCUGAAAGCAUCUAAGCACGAAACUUGCCCCGAGAUGAGUUCUCCCUGAGACUUAGAGUCUCCUGAAGGAACGUUGAAGACGACGACGUUGAUAGGCCGGGUGUGUAAGCGCAGCGAUGCGUUGAGCUAACCGGUACUAAUGAACCGUGAGGCUUAACC
rnacentral:rRNA from 1 species